UAAUCAGUUGACCUUUGACCUCUGAUGCACAUGAUCCUUCGAAGCUAAAGUCCAUGCUCUAUUUCAAACUCUCCUCUCUGGUUGUUUGAUUUUUCUUCCAUUUGAACAUUUCGACGUCCAUAUGAACGAGAGGUCAGGAUAGUAUUUAGAGAAAUGCUGUGAAAGCCUCACCUGACCUCACAGCACGUUGAAGGCACGCAGGCCCGCUCAGCCGCGGAUAAUCUGCAGUCAGGAGCCAAAAUGGAACAAAGUCAAGCUCACAGAGCGAAGCAGUUCGACUCAUCUAUAUGUCAGGCUCCAGUUACAUGAGAGCUGAGGAAAUCCGUCAUUUGAGAGGAAUUCACGUUGGGACCAAUGGAUUGCUCCAAGCGUGAGGGAGGUGUUUUUCUGUCUUUUAAUAGCUCAGAAGGAACAGGGAUUCCUAUUCUUGCCAGUGAUGUCUUAGGUCAUGGCACAAGAUACCCAAAACCUUCUGCUGACAUACACACAUCAGACAGCGUCGCCCUCAACCAGCCCUUCUGCAAAAAAGAUGGAUUACAAGGACUUGAGGAACAAAGCUAUUUAAGUUGGAAGCCUCAGUCAUAAUCGGCCCCGCACAGCUGUAGGCAACGCUUUAGACAUUAAUGAGAAUAUGACUGAUCACAUGUGGAGUAAUUGAAAUUGAUUUAUCAUUUGGGAGUUGGAAGUUAAUGGUUACAGGAGUCAUAGAGGUUAUGAGCAAACACCGGUGAGAUUGUGCAUUAUCAUGGAGGCCUUAGGUAGCCCAACAGGCCAACGGAGCAGACCGUGAUCAAUAGUAGUAGAGACGGACGUUAGAGGCCCUGACAGCUGAUUUCAAUCCACCAGAGGAUGGACAAGUGAGAGUGCUGAGGUGUUUGUUGACAUUCUUGUAUUAGACCUACAGGGGAGGUUUGAAUUGAUGGUUAACAUGCUUACUAUGGACAGAACAAUCUCUGUGAAAAGAUGCAUAAUUUGAUGUUGCAUGCCAAAAACUUGAAGAUUUGAGUGAUAAAUACACACAGCCAUCACAUCUGGCUCAUCUGGCUCGGGCUACAAACUCUGACAGGAAGUGGAUUAUAGCGCCGGUUGGCCCCGAUGAGGACAAACCCACAGAGAAUAUCUAUAAUCUGCACAUCCACAGAUCUAAUGGGGAUCAUGGCAGCAGCCUGGAGCAGCACUAAGAGAUCUGAAUGAGGCAGCCAGCUGUUGUAGAGACCCAGCCAGGGAGCCUAGCCCUGCUAAAGACCUGAGUUUAUUGAGCACACUCAUGCACUCAUGGCUCAUGCAGAACUUCUCUGUGCACAGCAUUAAGCUCUCAUGACAGAAUGUCACAGAACACUAUAUGACAACAUUACCUGUGUGCAAACUGUAAUAACAGGCAGCAGUGUUUGAUGUCCGCUUGGAUUGCUGGAGCAUGCAUUUGUGUUUUUAAAGUUGCAGUGUUUUCCUCAGUCCCAGUCUGCUGGCACACCAUCAUAGCACAGCUAAAAUAAACCAUCUGAAAGCUCUGAGGCUUAUAACCCGUCUGUCGCUUACAUAUUAGGUGGGCAGAGGAAGCAUGACUUUUAAGGAUAAUUCCUCUCUAAUAGAACUCAAGCAAAACCUCUAACAUGAACUAUGUUUUAGGUAGAAUGGGAGAUGGAGAGAAAGUGUGAAAUAGCCAAAGAAGGUCAGGUUAGCCAAUCGUAUACUGUGAUUAGCAGAGAAGAUGUUCAGCGUUUUACAUUUGAAUUACAAUGAAAGGACCUCUACAACCCUUUAGGUUGAUUAAAAUUAAGGUUUAAAUUAGUAGCUACAAUAAAAAAGGGAGAUUUGUGAAUUCUGCGAUGUUGCUCUCUACUUUUAAAAGUAAAAGGCUUACAGCUUUCCUUUUUCGUAAAGCUUAUGGUGAUGGCUCAGGCUCAGCUCCUAGUUAUGCUGCUUUAGGCUUAAAACCUUCUUCUUGUCUUAUGUUAAAAUGCUCGUUUUUACAGCAGAAAUAAACAUCUGUACAGCCUGUUUAAAAAUGUAAUACCCAUAGCUCACAAUGCAGCACAAACUGGAAUCUGGUAGAAUAAAGCUAGAGUGUGA